rnacentral:rRNA from 1 species
UACAGAGGUGCCGAGCGUUAGGCGGAAUCACUGGGCUUAAAGCGUGUGUAGGCGGAUGCCUAAGUACCUUGUGAAAUCCCACGGCUCAACCGUGGAACUGCUUGGUAUACUGGGUGUCUUGAGCUAUCUAGGGGCAACUGGAACAAACGGUGGAGCGGUGAAAUGCGUAGAUAUCGUUUGAAACGCCAAUGGUGAAAACAGGUUGCUGGGGAUAUGCUGACGCUGAGACACGAAAGCCAGGGGAGCAAACGGG